UGAGCAACCUGCCCUUAGCUCUGGGAUAACCCCGGGAAACCGGGGCUAAUACCGGAUACGAGUCCGAGCGGCAUCACGCGGACUGGAAAGUUUUUCGGCUAAGGAUGGGCUCGCGGCCUAUCAGCUUGUUGGUGGGGUAAUGGCCUACCAAGGCGACGACGGGUAGCCGGCCUGAGAAGGUGACCGGCCACACUGGGACUGAGACACGGCCCAGACUCCUACGGGAGGCA
rnacentral:rRNA from 1 species